GAGUUUGAUCCUGGCUCAGGAUGAACGCUAGCUACAGGCUUAACACAUGCAAGUCGAGGGGCAUCAGGAAGAAAGCUUGCUUUCUUUGCUGACGAGUGGCGGACGGGUGAGUAAUGCUUGGGAAUCUGGCUUAUGGAGGGGGAUAACUACGGGAAACUGUAGCUAAUACCGCGUAAUAUCUUCGGAUUAAAGGGUGGGACCGUAAGGCCACCUGCCAUAAGAUGAGCCCAAGUGGGAUUAGGUAGUUGGUGGGGUAAAGGCCUACCAAGCCGACGAUCUCUAGCUGGUCUGAGAGGAUGGCCAGCCACACUGGAACUGAGACACGGUCCAGACUCCUACGGGAGGCAGCAGUGGGGAAUAUUGCACAAUGGGGGGAACCCUGAUGCAGCCAUGCCGCGUGAAUGAAGAAGGCCUUCGGUUGUAAGUU
rnacentral:rRNA from 1 species